UACGGAGGGUGCGAGCGUUAAUCGGAAUUACUGGGCGUAAAGCGCGCGUAGGCGGCCUUGUAAGUCGGAUGUGAAAGCCCCGGGCUCAACCUGGGAAUGGCGUUCGAUACUGCUUGGCUAGAGUAUGGAAGAGGGAAGCGGAAUUCCGGGUGUAGCGGUGAAAUGCGUAGAUAUCCGGAGGAACACCAGUGGCGAAGGCGGCUUCCUGGGCCAAUACUGACGCUGAGGCGCGAAAGCGUGGGGAGCAAACAGG
rnacentral:rRNA from 1 species